rnacentral:lncRNA from 1 species
UAUACCAUUUCUCAAAUAAUAAAAUUCAUAAAUUUGGAGAGAAUGAAAAUGGUUCAUUCAAUGCCCUCCUUAAUUCCGACAAUCCAAAUGUAGCAUAAAUCUCUUUCAACUCGCGUAUAAUGCUAUUCAACUUCAGAAAAAUGAAAAGCAAAGAAACAUUCGUCAAUGUAGGAAAAUGAUAUCUAAAAGCACAAAAGGGAAAAGAAAAACAACCAUGUUAACUUAUUACACUGUUGGAGGAUGAAUACAUUCUAGGUAUUAUCAAAUACCAAGUUAUAUUUCUUUUUUGGCAUUUCAUCAAACAUGUAAUGUGCACUUUUCCAAAUAUUUGAAAGGAUAUAAUCAACUUGUUGCCCAAUUGCCCAGAAAGCCUAUUAUCUCUAAGAGUCAAUGUAGUCAAAUUUGUUGCCAAAACAGAUCAUCCCGUAUAAUACCUGAGAGAUAGUUUGAAUCAAGGUCUAGGUGUUCCACUGAGCUGCAUUUCUCAAGCUCCAAUAUAAUAUUUCCAUUGAAAUAGUUCACUGCUAAAUUAAUAACUUGAAUACGGGGUGAGUUGUUACAUAUACCAUCAGGAACCAAACACUGAAAAUAUUCUGAGAAAUGUUGAAAACUCGAAUUGAUGGCAGAUCGAUGCUAAUUGGAAACAACCCAGAAAAGACAUUUUUGUUCAAGUCCAAAAACUCUAAAUUGGGCAAAUGCAACAGUUAUGUUGGAAAUGAGCCUUUGAGCACAUUGUGGGAUGAAUUAAGGGAAAUUGAUUCUGAGAGCUUGCCCAUUAAUCUUUCCCUUCCAAGUUCUAACUUAACUGCAAGUGAAGCCUACCCAAUCACAGUAAUUGGGGGGAAAAGAUGAAUUUGCAUUCAAUUUCCACACAUCACUAAUUGAGUUUAAACCAUUUAUCGAACCCUCCAAUGCCUUCAAAUAAUUUGAAUUGCAUGUCAAGUUCUGAGCAUUCAAAACCUCAACUUGUAAAGAACCCCCAAAAAGAAUCAAAAUUAUCCAUAAUUCCAUAAUACCAAUCUCAGAAAAAUAAUCUCAAAUACAUGAAGAAAGAAAAGGGCCUAGUGAAAUCAGCCUUACAUCAAGAUUGAACCUUUAACCAUCUUCCAGAGCAAAAGAAAAAUGAAUAAAGACACCUAAAAAAUAUUUAAAAAAUUGGGGGCUUGUUGGAACAAAAAAUGAAUAUACAGAAAGACAAAGUACUGAUCACCUGAAAACUGCACGCUUUGUUGGCUCAAAAGAUAAGAUUUUGUUUCUGCUUGAACUUCCCGUUCUUGCAAUUAAGAAAAAGAAAACAGAGAAGAAAAAAAUGAGAGACAUAAAAGUAGAUAGGGAACCCCAAAUCACAUAGCAAAAUCAAGUAUUUACCUCGUCCUAGUUGUCGCUGAUGACUUCAAUCUCAUCCUCAUUCCUCAUUCAUCAGUUAGAGGAAUUCAAGCCAGCUUGUAACUCUUUUUUCAUGAAUAUGGUCUGCAUCUUUUUUGGGUGAAUUGUCUUGAUCAACAACUUUACUAUUCCG